rnacentral:rRNA from 1 species
GAUGAACGCUAGCUACAGGCUUAACACAUGCAAGUCGAGGGGCAGCAUGGUCUUAGCUUGCUAAGGCCGAUGGCGACCGGCGCACGGGUGGGUAACACGUAUCCAACCUGCCGUCUACUCUUGGACAGCCUUCUGAAAGGAAGAUUAAUACAAGAUGGCAUCAUGAGUCCGCAUGUUCACAUGAUUAAAGGUAUUCCGGUAAACGAUGGGGAUGCGUUCCAUUAGGUAGUAGGCGGGGUAACGGCCCACCUAGCCUGCGAUGGAUAGGGGUUCUGAGAGGAAGGUCCCCCACAUUGGAACUGAGACACGGUCCAAACUCCUACGGGAGGCAGCAGUGAGGAAUAUGGUCAAUGGGCAGAGCCUGAACCAGCCAAGUCGCGUGGAGGAAGACUGCCCCUAGGGUUGUAAACUCCUUUUACCUGGGAAUAACGGGCGCUACGCGUAGCGCUGUGCAUGUACCGGGAGAAUAAGCAUCGGCUAAUUCCGU